CCCAGGUAAGUUUAACCAUUUAGGGCCAGCAAAUUGACUUCCUCCUGGAUACUGGCGUGGACUUCUCAGUGUUAAUCUCCUCUCCUGGGUGGCUGUGCUCAAGGUCCAUUACCAUCCAAGGAAUCCCGGGACAGUCUAUAACCAGUUUGGCUUUCAGAUAUAGGUGGACUCUCAGCAUCAGAUGUUUUCUUAAUGAACCCGCUAAGGUAAUGCAGACGAGCCUGAGAAGCCUAAAGAACAAACAUGAGCAGCUUUUUAAAAGCUCUUCAAAAGCAACAACCAGUACAGAGCAUGCCUAAGGAAGAAAAGUAAAAGAUGACAGCUUUUCGAAGUCAGAUGACCUUGAUUGCUCUUCCUGGCUCAGCUGUCUCCCAUGCCUGUUUCAUGGCUCGGAUUUCAUCUGCCCGUUCUGUAUCCUUUUUCACUUCAAAUAAUUCUGAUUCACUGUGUUCAGUGACCAACCUCAAAAUCCAGUAGGGCUUAUUUGGGUCUUCUUGUUGAGGGUGAACAGUGGAUAUCUGAUAAAAUAAAAUAAAAACC